UAGUUGGUAAGGUAACGGCUUACCAAGGCGACGAUCAGUAGCCGACCUGAGAGGGUGAUCGGCCACAUUGGAACUGAGACACGGUCCAAACUCCUACGGGAGGCAGCAGUGGGGAAUAUUGCACAAUGGGCGAAAGCCUGAUGCAGCAACGCCGCGUGAGUGAUGAAGGCCUUCGGGUCGUAAAACUCUGUCCUCAAGGAAGAUAAUGACGGUACUUGAGGAGGAAGCCCCGGCUAACUACGUGCCAGCAGCCGCGGUAAUACGUAGGGGGCUAGCGUUAUCCGGAUUUACUGGGCGGAAAGGGUGCGUAGGCGGUCUUUCAAGUCAGGAGUGAAAGGCUACGGCUCAACCGUAGUAAGCUCUUGAAACUGGGAGACUUGAGUGCAGGAGAGGAGAGUGGAAUUCCUAGUGUAGCGGUGAAAUGCGUAGAUAUUAGGAGGAACACCAGUUGCGAAGGCGGCUCUCUGGACUGUAACUGACGCUGAGGC
rnacentral:rRNA from 1 species